ACACCAAAGCCUCUCCAGCGACGCCAAGCACUGGAGAUCUUCAAUGGAAGAUGUCGACCACCGGAGGAUGCCAAGCACUACCGCGAGGACUACUGCCAACACCUCCAACGACGAUCCAAAUAUCAUGGCGACACGGCCACCUCCGACGAUGUGGUCGUGUCGCUCCCAAUGUAACAUUUACUACGUUAUCGCUUAUUUUUCAUUAUCGGACUUUGCAUUCAACGUAUCGUAUUUAGCAUAUCGUGUAAUAACAAACUCCUCAAUUAAUAUCUUAAUCGCUACAUUACAAUUGUUAAUUAAAUGGUUAAGACCAUCCUUUCAAACAUGGUAUCAGAGCGGGAGAAGAUCCCACUCCGAACAAAACCCAAAUCAACCCACAACGAUGAAACAGAACACCACACCACCAAAAAUGGUGGUCAUAAACAAAGAUGGACAACCCAUCGACUUCACCUACAACAUGGCCAUCAAUGAACAAAUUGAUGACCCAUAUGACCUGCCUCUAGUACGGCAGCCCCUUUCCAUCUCAACUUCUAGGGUGGUCAAUGCUCACUGCAAUAAAGGCACAAUCCAUCUCAACCACUUUUCCUUCACACCCACGACUGACUACCCCCAUUCCUACUACCCAACACAAAUCGCGAGUACUGACCUGCUCAAACACAACACCCGCACAGCACCCGCUCAAACACUGACCUCGUUGGACAACCGGCGACCUCAACACCUGCACAGCACAACACCCGCACAGCACCCGCACGACCGACCACAGCACCCGCACGACCGACCGAUCAGAAACUCGCAGCAGACCGCGACCUUCAUCUGGAGUGACUCGCGACCCCAACUCGCACUCGCGACCCCAACGCGAUCGACGUCCGCAACUCGCUUUCCCGGACGUCCGAGCUCCGAGGUCUUUUCUUCCCCAACUCGCCCCCAACGACCGACCACUCCAAACACAACGCCCCCAACUCGACGACCCCAACUCACAAACUUUUUUUCACAAAACCCCCCUUUACAUCACUAUUACAUUCCAGUCCACAAGUUUCCUUCAACAAAUUUCCCUCAACAACCCCCACUAUUGCAUUACAGUCCUUAACCAAUCCUUUCACAACAACAACAUGUUUAGUGACAGAGAGAACAAGGAUGACUACAGCAGGGGAACAGACAACCCGUAUUACAUCGCCGGGAGUGAUAACCCAAAUGUUCAAAUGACGGAAAUGAAAAUGGACGGAGGCAACUAUAAAGUAUGGGCGAUCCACAUGAGGAGAGCACUCUCCAUCAAGAACAAACUAGGCUUCAUCACAGGAAGAUUGCGGGAACCGGCUGAAGACGAUGUAAAAUACGACGCAUGGAACCGUUGCAACGACAUUGUCAUAGCUUGGAUCCUCAAGGGUCUAGACACGAAGAUCGCACCAAACUACUUUAACGCCACUAAAGCGUCAGAUCUGUGGAACCAACUUCAAGUGAAUCAUGCGACUGACAACGGACUGGCGAAGUUCAGAGCAUUCAGAGCACUUGCAACAUGCGUCCAAGGAGACGAAAGUGUUAUCUCCUACUACACUCGACUCAACACAAUUUGGGGUGAGAUAAAAGACUGUACGUCAAAUGUUCCAUGUGCAUGCUGCAACUGCACGAAGAACAACGACGACGAAAAGGUAAUGUUCUUCUUGGGUGGAUUGCAGGAAACAUACACCAACGUCCGUGGAAACAUACUUAUGAUGAGUCCAACCCCCACCAUGGACGACGUGUAUCGACUGGUCAAACAAGAUGAACAGCAAAGAAACCUGAACAAUAUCAAUACAGAGGCACAUUCCGAGGCAACCGCACUCGUGGCUCUGAAGAAGAAAUUUCCCAAGAGCACUAGUGGCGGUGGAUACUCCAAGAACACUGGCAACAGUGGAUAUCAGGAAACAGGUGAAAAAGAGAAGUGUACCAGUUGUAAGAAGACCGGACACAGUCAUGAAAUAUGCUACUUCAUCCAUGGCUUCCCAGAAGGCCACCCAUUGCAUGGAAAGAAGUUUCCACGGAAAGAUCGCGAUUUCAAAGGGAAAGAGAAAACUAGCAAUUAUCAUGCUUCUGCAGAUGAAGGGAAGGGCAAGGAACUGGUAAGAAACAUGCCAGACCAAAGCCUCACGUUCACCGGACAGCAGUUCUCGACCUUAAUGAAUCAUCUCAACAUGCGAGGAAAUCAAAGUGAAUCAGACAGGUACACGACGAGAUCUUUCGAUGACACAGGCAACGAAGGACCCAACACUCAUUCUCACAUGGCAAGGAGGCACCCGGAUCAAGACCACGACUCAGGUAAACAACCUUUUAAAUUCAAGACAUCAGAUCCAACUUUAUGGAUAGUAGACACCGGAGCAACUGACCACAUGGUCAUGCCCGGAUGCACACUUGAGGAUCUAAAAAAAUUGGCAAGGCCAACCCGUAUAGGUUUUGCCGAAGAUCGAACGACAAUAGUCGACUCAAGUGGAACAUUCAAAAUAUCGAACGAUAUUUUGUUAAAAAAUGUUCUGCAGGUACCAAGUUUCAAUGUGAACUUACUCUCCGUGAGCCAACUGACCAAGGAUACGGAUUGCACUAUUAUUUUUAAAUCAAAAUCUUUUUCCAUACAGGACCCUCAAGGAACAUUGAUUGGCACGGGUAGAGAGAUCGACGGGCUGUAUAUCUUGUCCAUGGGAGACUUCAAAUCAGAAGAAUACCCAAGCAAGGCGCUGACAGCCCACGUACUGCCCAACACCUGGCACCGCCGGUUGGGACACCCAUGCGCUUCCCGUUUCUUUUAUUUCCAUCUAAUUAAUGACAAUAUUCCUAAAACUCUUAAUGAUUUUUGUAAUAUAUGUCCUCUCUCUAAACAGAGAAGAACAUCAUUCGGCAACAGUAAUUCUCAUGCUUUAAAAUUAUUCGACCUCAUUCAUAUGGAUCUAUGGGGCAAAUACCGCACCCCCUCACAUCAGGGACACUCCUUCUUCCUAACCAUAGUCGACGACCACUCAAGAAUGACUUGGGUGUUCUUACUCAAAAGCAAAAUGGAAGUUCCCACUAUUUUCAAACAAUUUUUGGUGGACUGUGAAAACCAAUACAACCUACAUCCAAAAAUUGUCCGAAGUGACAAUGGAACGGAAUUCACGUCGAAUGAAUUUCAAACCAUAAUCAAAACACACGGAAUCAACCACCAAUUAUCGUGUCCGUACACACCUCAACAAAACGGGAGAGUGGAACGGAAACACCAACACAUAAUCCAGACUGCAAGAUCAUUAAAGAUCGAGGGAAACAUUCCAGAUACGUACUGGGGUGAGUGCGUCCUCACAGCAGUUUAUCUCAUCAAUAGAACUCCCACACCCACUUUGGAAAAUGACACACCUUUUUUGCGUUUUUUUGGAACAAAUCCAGAAUUAAACCAUCUAAGGACCCUUGGGUGUCGAGCAUAUGCCAAAAUAAAUUAUGGAACCACGAAGUUCGAUGCAAGAUCAAUCCCAGGAAUCUUCUUGGGUUACUCAUACAAGAGCAAAGGUUUCAAAAUACUAGACACCCAUAACCGCCGCAUUAUCAUAAGUCGUGACGUAGUCUUCAACGAAAAUGAAUUUCCUUUCAAACCAAAAACCGUUGAAACCAACUCAGAAUUCACUCACACAGAUGACUUCUUAGACGAUCUGGAUGAGGAAGACCCAAGAGAGUCAGAAGUUGGAAAAGAAUCAGAAGUUCAACGUGAAGAUGAAAACAACGAUGACUUGCCUACACAAGUAGACCAAGCUCAAGAACAACCCAACAGAAGGACAUCAGACCGACAAGUUAGAAUGCCUUCGAGAUAUAAAGACUACGACAUAGACCUUCCGCAAACCAACAAACAUCGAAUGACGAAUUUUGUGUCUUACAACAAUUUUUCAGAGACACAUAAACAAUUUUUGACAAAACUGAUUAGCUCCACAGACCCAUCAAACUUCAAAGAAGCAGCCAAACACAAAGAAUGCGUAUGCGCCAUGAACAAAGAAAUUCAAGCGCUAAAGGAAAACGAAACUUGGACCAUUACCAGCCUUCCAUUAGGAAAGAAACCUAUAGGCUGCAAAUGGAUAUACAAGACAAAAAGGAAUGCAGACGGCUCCAUCAACAAACACAAGGCAAGACUGGUCGCAAAAGGAUAUACGCAAAUGCAAGGAAUUGACUAUAAUGAAACAUUUGCUCCAGUAUCUAAAAUGACUACAUUGCGCACCAUCCUCGCCAUCGCAACGUCAAGAGGAUGGUUUAUGCAUCAAAUGGAUGUCCAGAACGCCUUUUUACAUGGCACACUAGAUGAAGAAAUCUGCAUGUCCAUUCCCCAAGGUUUCGGACACACAUCUCACAAAGUAAAAAACUCAGUCUGUAAGCUAAAUAAAUCAUUGUACGGACUAAAACAAGCUUCGAGAGUUUGGUAUCAAAAACUCUCGAAGACCCUAAAAACCCUUAAAUUCAUCCAAUGCAAAAGCGAUUACUCGCUUUUCGUUAGGAAAUCAACUACAUCUACCAUAAUAGUUCUUGCCUAUGUAGAUGACCUAUUAAUAACAGGAAACAACAUGACAGAAAUAGAAAGAACCAAGAAGGACCUACACGGUCACUUCAACAUAUCAGAUCUUGGGGAAUUAAAAUACUUCCUAGGACUUGAAAUAGCCAAAACUAAAAAUGGAUUGUACGUAGGACAACACAAGUACGCAUUGGACAUCAUCAAAGGAACAAACCUGACAGACUGCAAACCUACAAAUACCCCAUGCAGCACAAACAAACAGACCUCAAAACCCAACGACAAAGAUGAAGGACGACUACUUGAUGAUCCACAAAUCUAUCGAAGCAUAGUAGGAAAACUAGUAUACCUCACAGUCACACGACCCGAUAUAACCUAUGCCGUAAACGCAUUGAGCCAAAAAAUGUCGAAUCCGACCAAUGCAGACAUGCAAGCAGCACACAGAACCAUAAGGUAUAUAAAAGGGUCACCUGGCACUGGACUGUUUUUCUCAUCACAUUCAACAGAGAGGAUAACGGGAUAUUCGGACUCCGACUGGGCGGCCUGCCCCUUAACACGACGAUCCAUGACUGGAUACUGCCUCUACCUAGGACACAACAUGGUUAGCUGGCAGGCAAGGAAACAACACACAGUGUCAAAAUCUUCGGCAGAGGCCGAGUACCGUGCUCUCUCAACGGCGUCUUGCGAAGUAACAUGGUUACGAUCGCUGCUAUACGAAAUAAACAACGAAAACAUAGACAUACCUGCAGGAACACCACGUCAGUAUACAGAUAGUACCUCUGCGGCGUCAAUCGCAAAAAAUCCGGUUGCUCACCAACGGACGAAACAUAUAGAGAUAGAUAUACACUUUGUCCGAGACAAGGUGUUGAAUCAAGAAAUAGAACUGUUAUAUGUUCCAACCAUAGAGAACCCCGCUGAUCUCUUCACCAAAGCACUACCAGGGCCCACGUUUAACUAUUUAUUUCCAAAAUUGCAUCUAUUAAAUGCUCACAAACCACCGGACAUCAAAUAGCAGUCAAUACAAAACCAAGCCCUCCACGCUAGUUUUGAGGGGGUAUCAAAUAUCACAAUAUCAUGCAUAUUCAAUCCACUACUUAUCAUCAUCUUUAUUUUAUUAUAUAUAUAUUAACCAUUUCAGGUCACCCCCAACGGCUAUCUCAAAUGGAUAUAUAUACACAUCAAGUGACAACAUUCAAAGGCUAACAUUUCAUUCACAUGGUUCACAUCUCAAACCAUCUCGGAGCUCAGGCGAGCCCGGAACACCAAAGCCUCUCCAGCGACGCCAAGCACUGGAGAUCUUCAAUGGAAGAUGUCGACCACCGGAGGAUGCCAAGCACUACCGCGAGGACUACUGCCAACACCUCCAACGACGAUCCAAAUAUCAUGGCGACACGGCCACCUCCGACGAUGUGGUCGUGUCGCUCCCAAUGUAACAUUUACUACGUUAUCGCUUAUUUUUCAUUAUCGGACUUUGCAUUCAACGUAUCGUAUUUAGCAUAUCGUGUAAUAACAAACUCCUCAAUUAAUAUCUUAAUCGC
rnacentral:lncRNA from 1 species